CCUCUUCAUUUGCAAAAACGAAAAAUUGAGAAACCUCACCACCACCAUCUUCAUCGUCGCCACCACCCCCACUCCAGUACCACCUCUAGUUUCGCCACCACCUCCACCAAUCCCACGACCAUUUUCAGACCUCCUCUUAUAUUUCCAUCAAAUCCAUCACAAGCAGCAACACCACCACCUCCUAAACAAUCGGUUUGGAUCGAUUUUUACCUGAUUCAACUUCAGAACUCAAAUCUAGUGAUCGACCAACGAGAAACUAAUCUCCGAAACCUAAUCCUGAGCAUCGAAAACGUUAGAUUCGUUUCGAUUUUGCAACUGGAUUGUACAUGAUUGCAUUUUCAAACCCUAAUUUUGGAUUCAUUUUUCUUCGGAUCGAUAAUUCAUUCAGUUUUUGAAUCAAGAAGCUGAUUAUUGUUUAUGAACGGUGGUUGUGGUGAUUUCACCCUGCUGCGAAAAAUGAAGGGUAUACAUCCAGCAAAAUUGAUUUCACCCUGAUCGGUAUACUCUCUCUCUUGAUGUCGCAUGUGGUUCAUCAAUGGUUAGCAGGUGCAUUCAGUUUUAAGUAAUUGUAUGUCAUCUUUUUAUCUUUAUUUUUUAAUAAAUAAUAAUGUCAUGUUGUUGGUGUGUAAACUUCCGACAUAUUAUUUUACAUACAGUUGUGUGCUAAAAUUUAUAUCUAGGUAUGUGAAACUUGUAGGUGCUUGUUAACAGGCAGCCACAUAACCUCUCAUGUAGGCUCUUUCAGCAUGAGUUUUAACUGACUUGUUCAUGGGAAUAUAUAUAACUCGCUGAAAGCAUUGAGUUCUUUUUGUUUUAAUGAAAUGUUUACA